rnacentral:rRNA from 1 species
AGGCGACGACGGGUAGCCGGCCUGAGAGGGUGUCCGGCCACACUGGGACUGAGAUACGGCCCAGACUCCUACGGGAGGCAGCAGUGGGGAAUAUUGCACAAUGGGCGCAAGCCUGAUGCAGCGACGCCGCGUGGGGGAUGACGGCCUUCGGGUUGUAAACCUCUUUCAGUAGGGACGAAGCGCAAGUGACGGUACCUACAGAAGAAGCACCGGCCAACUACGUGCCAGCAGCCGCGGUAAUACGUAGGGUGCGAGCGUUGUCCGGAAUUACUGGGCGUAAAGAGCUCGUAGGUGGUUUGUCGCGUUGUCCGUGAAAUCUCACAACUCAAUUGUGAGCGUGCGGGCGAUACGGGCAGACUGGAGUACUGCAGGGGAGACUGGAAUUCCU